UGGACACCUGCUGGCCACCAGGAGGAACUGCAAGUCUCCUCUGGUCCGCGGUUCUCCCUUAUCUGCCAUCACUUUCAUCUCCUCGCACCGACCUUGACUUUGGAUCCGUCGCCUCUGACCCUUCCCCUUUGGGGUCUGCUUCCCCAAAUCUGUACAUUGACCCUUCUGUACCUUGUACCUUUCGUGUUGACUUUGGCUUGGGUCAUCCCCAGGGUCGCAGAGGAAUCCUCUGUCCCAGCGGAUGCAGACUCACUGUCCUUCCUAGGAGCUCCGUCCAUCAGGAAUCCAGGGGUUGAACUCAGGACCUUGCAUAUUUCAGGCAGGCACCGGCACCACCGAGCUAAAUCCCUGGCAGUUCAGACUGAUUUUGAGCUCAUCGUGUAGCCCACCCCAGGCUGGCCUCAAACUCGAAGCAGUCCUCCUGCCUCUGCCUCCUACGUGCUGGGAUUACAGUUCUGCUGUGACCCUGAAACUCUGACACAGUAAGAAAGAGAUGAACUAGCAAGUCAUGAAAACACACAGAAGAACCUUAAGUCUGUAUCAUGAAGUGAAAGGAACUUCGAGGCUCGUGUGUUGGAAGCUUUAGACCCAUGUGGGCUUUCAGGAGAGGGGCCUAGGAGCUGCCGCCCACAGUGGGUUAGUGCUGCUGUCCUGGAGCAGGGUCCUUGCCAGGUGAUCCAUUUAGCUCCCACUCGCCUUCUCUGCUCAUCUACCACGAGAUGCCAUAGAGCAGCAAGAAGGCCCUUGCCAGAUGCCAACCCUUCUAGCUGCUUCCUAGCCACUAGAAGUACAAGACUGUAAACUUCUGUGUAUCAUAAAUUCCUUCGUCUGAUACCUGUAAUCCCUUGGGAGGCUGAGGCAGGCAGAUCGACACAAGUUUGAGGCCAACCUGGACUACAUAGUGAAUUCAAGGCCAGCCCAAAUGACAUAGUGAGAUCUUGUCUCAAAAAAAUAAAAUAAAUUAUGGCAGCGUGACACAGACUAAGACAGAUGCCAAUCUGAAAAGGUUACAGACUACAUAAUUCUGUGAUGUUCUGGAAAAGGCAAAACUAUGGAGACAAUCGAAAGAUCAGUGGUUUCCAGGAGUUGAGCAGAGGGCAGGAUGAACUGUAGAGCAGAGACAAUUUUUAGGAAGGUGAAACUAUUCUGGCUGCUGCUGUCAUGGAAGAUACACGUUGUUACACGUGUGUGGAAAUCCAUGGGACACGCGUCACUGGCAGGGGGCCCUUAGGGUAACAAGGUGCUAGUGUAGGUUCAGCAGUGGUAACGAAUGUACCCUGGUGGGUCAGGAUGGGGAGGGAUGGGGCACGGACAUAUGGG
rnacentral:lncRNA from 1 species